rnacentral:rRNA from 1 species
UACGUAGGGUGCGAGCGUUGUCCGGAAUUAUUGGGCGUAAAGAGCUUGUAGGCGGUCUGUCGCGUCUGCCGUGAAAGUCCGGGGCUCAACUCCGGAUCUGCGGUGGGUACGGGCAGACUAGAGUGUGGUAGGGGAGACUGGAAUUCCUGGUGUAGCGGUGAAAUGCGCAGAUAUCAGGAGGAGCACCGAUGGCGAAGGCAGGUCUCUGGGCCACUACUGACGCUGAGAAGCGAAAGCAUGGGGAGCGAACAGG